AAAACUUUUGCAACUAUCAAAUAGUAGUUAUUAUUCAGCUUUCAAAAAACUGUUUAAAUCAGUUGUUCUAGCAUUAGAUGAAGCAUAUGACAUUAACAUGCACU
rnacentral:lncRNA from 1 species